rnacentral:tRNA from 1 species
GCCCGGGUGGCUCAGCUGGUAGAGCGUUGCCUUGGUAAGGCAGAGAUCGCGUGUUCAAAUCUCGCCCCGGGCU